rnacentral:rRNA from 1 species
CAGCAGCCGCGGUAAUACGUAGGGUGCGAGCGUUAAUCGGAAUUACUGGGCGUAAAGCGUGCGCAGGCGGUUGUGUAAGACAGGUGUGAAAUCCCCGGGCUUAACCUGGGAACUGCGCUUGUGACUGCACAACUAGAGUAUGGCAGAGGGGGGUGGAAUUCCACGUGUAGCAGUGAAAUGCGUAGAGAUGUGGAGGAACACCGAUGGCGAAGGCAGCCCCCUGGGCCAAUACUGACGCUCAUGCACGAAAGCGUGGGGAGCAAACAGGAUUAGAUACCCGCGUAGUCCCUGUCUCUUAUAC